rnacentral:rRNA from 1 species
UAGCGGCGAGUGAGCGGCAAGAGCUCAGAUUUGAAAUCGUGCUUUGCGGCACGAGUUGUAGAUUGCAGGUUGGAGUCUGUGUGGAAGGCGGUGUCCAAGUCCCUUGGAACAGGGCGCCCAGGAGGGUGAGAGCCCCGUGGGAUGCCGGCGGAAGCAGUGAGGCCCUUCUGACGAGUCGAGUUGUUUGGGAAUGCAGCUCCAAGCGGGGUGGUAAAUUCCAUCUAAGGCUAAAUACUGGCGAGAGACCGAUAGCGAACAAGUACUGUGAAGGAAAGAUGAAAAGCACUUUGAAAAGAGAGUGAAACAGCACGUGAAAUUGUUGAAAGGGAAGGGUAUUGCGCCCGACAUGGGGAUUGCGCACCGCUGCCUCUCGUGGGCGGCGCUCUGGGCUUUCCCUGGGCCAGCAUCGGUUCUUGCUGCAGGAGAAGGGGUUCUGGAACGUGGCUCUUCGGAGUGUUAUAGCCAGGGCCAGAUGCUGCGUGCGGGGACCGAGGACUGCGGCCGUGUAGGUCACGGAUGCUGGCAGAACGGCGCAACACCGCCCGUCUU